GGCAGUUUCCCAGUUGGAACCAGAGGCAGCAAACCCCUGCUUGUUUCCUGCUCUGACCAAGCCCAGGUCCCAGAGAACGUUGAUUUAAAUGUCAGUGGUGCGGUUUAUUUAGCUAUUUCAGGAACUGGAGCAUUACCACGGCCAUUGGCAACCAGAAAGCAGCUAGAGCUCAGGAGGGGUGGUGAGCUCCCCAAAGCACAAGGUCUUUUCUUCUUCAGAACUGUCUGGUGGACUGGCCAAGAAUGCUGACAGAGGUGAGAUGCCAGCUUCAGAGGUACCUGUUCUACCUCCCUGGGCUGCCUGCCAAGGAUGCCCUUGGUCUGCCAGAAAAAAAGUAUUGCUGCUUUGCCCUGAUACACACAGAAGUCUAGAUUCCAUUCAUACCAAUAUCGGUCCUUCCUCCCCCAUGAAGCAUGUGAGAUGCUCUCUCUCCAUCGCCAAGUUUCUUCUUUCUGCUGGUUUCUCUGGCAAAAAGGCAAGAGGCAAGAACUGAUGUGGGAAACAGUGGCAGAGAGUUAGAGAAAGCAGGUAAGUCCGAAGGCCAAAUCCUUUUGCUGGGCAGACUGGAGAGAGGGAGAGACAUUGAGUCACUGCAACCCAGUACCCUGACAUGACCCAGGAGUUAGUUGCCCAGCAAGCUUGACCCAACACUGGAAUGCUUCCCACAUCAACCUGCACUGUGGAAAAAUCCAGUUCCUUUUGCAGCAUAGGCUUCUCCUUCCUCCUCUCAUUAAAUGGAGAAUGUUUAAUAGAGCGAUUGCAGGCUUUCAUCCAAAGCAACAAAUAGCUAGCACGGCUGGCUCUCGAAACGCUAGCAGGAUGUCAACAUGGGAGCCUUGGAGAAAUUUUUCUUGAAGAGUACUUAAGUCAAUAAUACCAAGGAGAAUGCAAAGACUACAAGACUUCAGAGUCACAGCUGGCUACAAACCCACCCCCUGCACCCAGUACCACUAGCUGGAGACACUGGAAGAUGCUCUUGUUAUUCUCGGAUCACCGCCUACCCCCAAAACCCAUCCUCCCUGCUGCCUUACCUGAGAAGUUGAACCCCAGAGACAGAAAGGAUCACCUGCACUCCUUGUACUGGGCCUUCCCAUCGGCCAACGUGUGGCAUGAACGAGGCUGCAUCCCUCUUCCAUAGCACCUGCACUCGUAGGCUCUGCAAAUUUCAUCCCCACCUUUGGCCCUUCAGGCCUAGGGCAAGUCACAGCUCCCCAGAACUGUUCAUCCCCAGGUGUCUCGCCAUCCCUAGAUAGCACCUGUAAGCCUGACUACACCUCUGUAAAGCGUGCCCUUCAUUAAAUUUUCUUCUGUUAAACCCUUUGGAGUGGGUCUUGGUUUUCCUGCCAGAACCAUGACUGACAUGGACAGUUACUUAACCUCUCUGAGUAUUGACUUCUUUGCCUCUAAAAUGAGGAUGAAAAUAUUUACUUGGCAAGGUUAUGGCAAAGGUUAUGUGAGAUGACCUCUAUGGAGCAUCCAUUAUGUGUCUGGCACUAUACGAUGCAUUUUACAUGCAUGAAUUCUCC
rnacentral:lncRNA from 1 species